AUUGAACGCUGGCGGCAGGCCUAACACAUGCAAGUCGGACGGUAGCACAGAGGAGCUUGCUCCUCGGGUGACGAGUAGCGGACGGGUGAGUAAUGUCUGGGGAUCUGCCCGAUAGAGGGGGAUAACCACUGGAAACGGUGGCUAAUACCGCAUAACGUCGCAAGACCAAAGCGGGGGACCUUCGGGCCUCCCACUAUCGGAUGAACCCAGAUGGGAUUAGCUAGUAGGCGGGGUAACGGCCCACCUAGGCGACGAUCCCUAGCUGGUCUGAGAGGAUGACCAGCCACACUGGAACUGAGACACGGUCCAGACUCCUACGGGAGGCAGCAGUGGGGAAUAUUGCACAAUGGGCGCAAGCCUGAUGCAGCCAUGCCGCGUGUAUGAAGAAGGCCUUCGGGUUGUAAAGUACUUUCAGCGGGGAGGAAGGCGAUGUGGUUAAUAACCGCGUCGAUUGACGUUACCCGCAGAAGAAGCACCGGCUAACUCCGUGCCAGCAGCCGCAGUAA
rnacentral:rRNA from 1 species